rnacentral:lncRNA from 1 species
GAUAGCAGUCAAGAAGACGCAUUUUGUUGGGCAGAAGUGUAAGCAGAGUAAGCAUGUCAAGUGACAGUUGCACCCACUGGUGUCAUAGUUGUGGGCAACCCGUGAAUGUCGUAAAUGCUGUUUGCCCCAAUUGCCAUGGUAGUUUUGUUCAAGAGCUCGAUGACAUAAUGAGUAGUAGUGCAGAUUAUCUGAACCAGAGGCCGAGAUUUAUGGAAUCUUUCUGGUAGUUUUGUUCAAGAGCUCGAUGACAUAAUGAGUAGCAGUGCAGAUUAUCAGAACCAGAGGCCGAGAUUUAUGGAAUCUUUCUCAAACUUUUUAAGACGACAAAUCUCUGCUAGAAGUAAUAUUUCUGAGAGAGGGAGAUCUGAUGGGGGUGCUGAACAAAGAAAUUUGUGGAAUCCCUUGCUGAUUUUCAGUGGUGAUACGCCUGUUCAGAUGCCUGGGGAUGGUGGAGUUGUGGAGUUUCUUAAUGAGGCUCUUGGCUUCCGACGAGAAACUGGUGGUGAUUAUUUUGGGUUGGGCGGGUUUAAAUAAUUGACUGGGUGGGCUAAUCUGGA